CUAGAAGACAGGAAUUGGAGAGCGUGGCCCCAGCUCCUUACCCUCCUGUGCGAAGUGGCGUCCAGACGUGUGAUGGUAAAGACAACCUUUUUCAAAUCCCCUUGGCCAUGUGACUACAUUCUGGCUAAUGAGAUGGCAGCAGAAGCGGGAUGUGGGACUUCUAGAAGUCUCCUUCCUAGGAGGGAAAGAGGGAAAAAACACAUCUUUCAUUUUGAAAAAGAUGUUCUUAUUCAAGUGAUAUCUCCAGGGCUAUUCACUAAGCAUGAUGAAUUGUAUAACCAGGAAGGAAGAAAGAAAUGCUGUGGUGGUUGCUGCUGAUCUCAGGCCAGCUAGGGUUACUUUUUAGCUGAGCCUCAAGGAGGCAUUGCGCAACCAGACUUUCUUAUGUGCCGCUUCUUUAAAGGUGAAAAGUCAAGUCACACUCUUCUGUGAUCUCUGUUUUCUUUGUAAAAGUUUGUAUAAAUCUUAUAAUGCAUAUAGGCACGCUUUCUCUUCUCUGACUGUUUUUCUGGCCAGUUUGAAUUCGUGAUUAAGAUAUGCCCAGAGUAGCUUCCCCCGCCCCCCAGGUUGUCACAAAAGGAGUCAUUCUGUGAGUAGUAGAAAACUUAUAUACCAGCAAUUCACUCCUAAGACUGUAAAGCUGGCCUGAAUUGAGGAUAAUUGAUGCCAUCCCAGAGCCAUUGUGGGGUUGUCCUCUAAAUUAAAAGCAGAAUGAGGUACAAAGGAACUGCUUAAUUUAUAUUUGUGCCUAAGACUUAUAAGAGACAGAAAGAGUGAGAAGCCUUCAUAGUGACUGAAUUACAGUAUUGGGUUGUACUUUGAUUGUGGAAUGCCAAAUUCAUGCACAACUGUGGUCCAAAUUUACAUAGCUAAUAAGUUUUACUGGUCUGAGUGAUCAGCUGUGAAUGAGUUUGUCCAGAAAAGUUUAAAAUACUAACUCGUUGGUCCCUCACAGAAAUGGUUUGCGGACCCCUGGUCUAGAAAAUAUGCAGGCAGCUCUGAGAAAAGAGGUCAAGAAGACCGAGAGCCUGAAAUGUUUCAGCACUGCCACAGACCUUUGCCCAUUCACUGUUUCAUUUAGUCCCAACAAGUGAGCAGGA